ACAACAGUUGGAAACGACUGCUAAUACCGCAUAAGCCCACGGGUCGGCAUCGACCAGAGGGAAAAGGAGCAAUCCGCUUUGAGAUGGCCUCGCGUCCGAUUAGCUAGUUGGUGAGGUAACGGCCCACCAAGGCAACGAUCGGUAGCCGGACUGAGAGGUUGAACGGCCACAUUGGGACUGAGACACGGCCCAGACUCCUACGGGAGGCAGCAGUGGGGAAUAUUGCACAAUGGGGGAAACCCUGAUGCAGCGACGCCGCGUGGAGGAAGAAGGUCUUCGGAUUGUAAACUCCUGUUGUUGGGGAAGAUAAUGACGGUACCCAACAAGGAAGUGACGGCUAACUACGUGCCAGCAGCCGCGGUAAAACGUAGGUCACAAGCGUUGUCCGGAAUUACUGGGUGUAAAGGGAGCGCAGGCGGGAAGACAAGUUGGAAGUGAAAUCUAUGGGCUCAACCCAUAAACUGCUUUCAAAACUGUUUUUCUUGAGUAGUGCAGAGGUAGGCGGAAUUCCCGGUGUAGCGGUGGAAUGCGUAGAUAUCGGGAGGAACACCAGUGGCGAAGGCGGCCUACUGGGCACCAACUGACGCUGAGGCUCGAAAGUGUGGGUAGCAAACAGGAUUAGAUACCCUGGUAGUCCACACCGUAAAC
rnacentral:rRNA from 1 species